rnacentral:lncRNA from 1 species
AUGAAAAUCUACACUGAGAUCAAGGGCUUGAGCUUUAUUUCCUGCACAAAUAGAACAAAAAUUGUCUCCCGCUUAGGCGGUUGGAUGGAGUUCAGGAAAACUAUGUCUGGCAUUAAUUCCAAAGUGGAGGUUUUGGUUCAAGUGAGGCCCAUUAAUUUCAGUAAACUGUUUUCACUAGUCCAGACCCUGCUGUGGGAGCUCUAUUUAUUACCUUUUGCUAACCUGAUGUCUGCUGAGUUGCAAAGCAGAGGGAAGGGGGAAUCUGGGAUGGGGAUAUCUCUAUCUUGGAUCAAAUGGGUUUGCACCUUCCCGUUGGGGGUCAUGCUUAAUAGUGAGUUUUAUACCCCUCACUUUUCUUUAUCAGAGCCUUUACCAAAAAAAAGAAAAAAGAAAAAAGAAAAGAAAAGAAAAAAAGAAAAAGAAAAAAAUCCAUCUUGCGACGAAUUCCAGAAAAACAAAUCUGAUGGAGAGAAAUCUGGUUGAACUACUCAGCACAGGCAAGCCCAUACAUAGACCAUGGACCCAAUUCAAGGAAAGCAAUGAGGACUGCCCUGUACCAGUCUUGACCCAGGAACAGUGAAGACCUGGGAGGAGCUUCCUGCUCGGUGGGUGAGCACACUUUCUGGCUGCCCAAGCAGAAAAGUGCCUGCGGCCAUGGCUCUCCGAGUCUGGCUUGUGGAAAUCCCAAGAUCAUUGUAGACUGAUGGGAAGCUCCCUUUAAGGCCCAGGUUCACAGAUGAAGUAGAGGGCCAAGGGUAGGCACACCUGUGGUCUUCGUGGCCACACUGACCACCGCGACAGGUCCCGCCUACUCGAAACCUUUCUUCCUCUCAAGUUUCCUUGUUGGGGGUUUGAGAAUUUGUCACAACUGAAUCAGUGAAUAGCACCCUUGUCUGGCUCUUACACCCUCUUCCUCUAGGCCCGGUUCCCUGGACAGCUCAUUCCAAGCUUUUUUUUUUUUUUUUUUUUUUUGAAGUAAGGAAACACACCAGCUUUUGCUGAGAGCAGCGCUGGCCUCCCCCAAGCUCUGGCACGGUGGCAAGAAGUGGAUGCCUGCCGGGUGGCAGGAACUAGACUCGACUACCCCCUCUCCUGAGCCUUUUUUCCCCUCCCUGAUCUCCGCCCCUCCAGGAAGAAAACAGCCUGAGACCGGAUCGGUUUUUCGGCCACUGUGCCAACCCCAACCACUAUGCCCG